AUGACAGGUACGUGCAAAGCGGAGCUAGUCGAGGGUGUAGCAACAGUUCUUGAAGGUGUUCAUGUCGCGGCUGAAGAGUGGCACGUAGGCGUCCACGCUGCCAUCGCCCAAGAAGGAGGGCAGCAGGAUGAGCAGGCCCUCCACCGGCAGGUAGCUGGGCAUGAAGAAGAACGGACGGCCGCCGCCGAAGUCCAUGUCGUAGAACGGGAUCCGCAGCCAGCUGUCCACCACUCCACCUCGAUGUUGGGGCUCAGCACCAUCUCAGCCGCGUCGGCCGUCGCCAGCAGCCGCUCUUUCUCCACCGCGCCGGAGCUGGCGAAGUCGAUGAAGGACUUGAAGUAG
rnacentral:rRNA from 1 species